rnacentral:rRNA from 1 species
AGAGUUUGAUUCUGGCUCACAACGAACGCUUGCAGCGUGGAUUAGGCAUGCAAGUCGAACGGGAAGCCCCGUUUUCAAUCUUCGGAGAGAAUUUGGGGUGGAGAGUGGCGAAAGGGUGAGUAACGCGUGGGCAAUCUACCCCCAAGUUGGGGAUAACCAGCCGAAAGGCUGGCUAAUACCGAAUGUGGUUCUUUGACGAUGGUCAGAGUAACUAAAGGCAGGGAUCCUUCGGGACCUGUCGCUUGAGGAGGAGCCCGCGUCCCAUCAGCUUGUUGGUAGGGUAACGGCCUACCAAGGCUUACGGGUAGCUGGUCUGAGAGGAUGGUCAGCCACACUGGGACUGAGACACUGCCCAGACUCCUACGGGAGGCUGCAGUCGAGGAUCAUUCGCAAUGCGCGAAAGCGUGACGAUGCGACGCUGCGUGGAGGAUGACGGCCCUAGGGUUGUAAACUCCUGUCAUCCGGGAAAAAUGGUCCCGGCUUUAAUAGAGUCGGGAACUGAUGGUACCGGAAGAGGAAGCCACGGCUAACUCUGUGCCAGCAGCCGCGGUAAUACAGAGGUGGCGAGCGUUGUUCGGAUUUACUGGGCGUAAAGGGUGCGUAGGUGGUUCCGUAUGUCGAAUGUGAAAGCCCGCCGCUCAACGGCGGAAUUGCAUUCGAAACUGCGGUGCUAGAGUCCAAGAGGGGAGAGCGGAAUUCUUGGUGUAGCGGUGAAAUGCGUUGAUAUCAAGAAGAACACCGGCGGCGAAGGCGGCUCUCUGGAAUGGAACUGACACUGAGGCACGAAAGCUGGGGGAGCAAACAGGAUUAGAUACCCUGGUAGUCCCAGCCGUAAACGGUGUGCACUUGGUGUGGGGGCGUCAAACCCUCCCGUGCCGGAGCUAACGCGUUAAGUGCACCGCCUGGGGAGUACGGCCGCAAGGCUAAAACUCAAAGAAAUUGACGGGGGCCCGCACAAGCGGAGGAGCAUGUGGCUUAAUUCGAUGCAACGCGAAGAACCUUACCAGGGCUUGACAUGGCGACCCUUCGGGGGUGGGAGUGAAAGUUCCCUUUGCGAUCACAGGUGCUGCAUGGCUGUCGUCAGUUCGUGCCGUGAGGUGUUUGGUUAAGUCCAGCAACGAACGCAACCCUUGUGCUUAGUUGCUACUCCUGGUGUUGAGCCGGGAAGCACUCUAGGCAGACUGCCCGUACAAGCGGGAGGAAGGUGGGGACGACGUCAAGUCAGUAUGGCCCUUACGCCCUGGGCUGCACACGUGCUACAAUGGUUGGUACAGAAGGAUGCAAUACCGCGAGGUGGAGCCAAUCCUCAAAACCAACCUCAGUUCGGAUUGGAGUCUGCAACUCGACUCCAUGAAGUCGGAUUCGCUAGUAACGGCGUAUCAGCUACGACGCCGUGAAUACGUUCCCGGGCCUUGUACACACCGCCCGUCACAUCAUGAAAGCCGUCUGCACCCGAAGUCGCUGAGCCAACCCUAACGGGAGGCAGGUGCCGAAGGUGUGGGUGGUGAUUGGGAUGAAGUCGGAACAAGGUA